rnacentral:rRNA from 1 species
UACAGAGGUCUCAAGCGUUGUUCGGAUUCAUUGGGCGUAAAGGGUGUGUAGGUGGCGCGCUAAGUCGGGUGUGAAAUUUCGGAGCUUAACUCCGAAACUGCAUUCGAUACUGGCGUGCUUGAGGACUGGAGAUGAGACUGGAAUUCAUGGUGUAGCAGUGAAAUGCGUAGAGAUCAUGAGGAAGACCAGUGGCGAAGGCGGGUCUCUGGACAGUUCCUGACACUGAGACACGAAGGCCAGGGGAGCAAACGGG